UACGAAGGGAGCUAGCGUUGUUCGGAAUCACUGGGCGUAAAGCGCACGUAGGCGGAUGUGUCAGUCAGGGGUGAAAUCCCGGAGCUCAACUUCGGAACUGCCUUUGAUACAGCACGUCUUGAGUCCGAUAGAGGUGGGUGGAAUUCCUAGUGUAGAGGUGAAAUUCGUAGAUAUUAGGAAGAACACCGGUGGCGAAGGCGACUCUUUGGCCUGUAACUGACGCUGAGGCGCGAAAGCGUGGGGAGCAAACAGG
rnacentral:rRNA from 1 species